rnacentral:rRNA from 2 species
CCGGAGUGGACGAACCUCUGGUGUACCGGUUGUCACGCCAGUGGCAUCGCCGGGUAGCUAUGUUCGGAAGAGAUAACCGCUGAAAGCAUCUAAGCGGGAAACUCGCCUUAAGAUGAGAUAUCCCUGGAGGCUUGACCUCCUUGAAGGGUCGUUCGAGACCAGGACGUUGAUAGGUCAGGUGUGUAAGCGCAGUAAUGCGUUCAGCUAACUGAUACUAAUUGCCCGUAAGGCUUGAUCCUAUAACA